UGAUUGGGUUUGUGUAUGCCUGCUACGUGAUCAGUAUUUUCAUGGAGGAAGAGGACAGCUUUGAUUUCAUAGGUGGACUUGACACAUACUCCUACCGACAACCCCCCCAGGAACAUGUUGAAUUAAAGCCUCUAAAGCCUGUAGGUCGAAAUAAGUAAUCAACCUUUUCUCAAGGCUUCUG